rnacentral:rRNA from 1 species
AGUGAAUAGAUACCCAGGUAGUCCAGGGUGUAAACGCUGCGGGCUUGGUGUUGGGGGUCCUUUGAGGGCGCCCAGUGCCGGAGAGAAAGUUGUUAAGCCUGCUGCUUGGGGAGUACGUCCGCAAGGAUGAAACUUAAAGGAAUUGGCGGGGGAGCACCGCAACGGGAGGAGCGUGCGGUUCAAUUGGAUUCAACGCCGGACAACUCACCAGGAGCGACGGUUACAUGAAGGCCAGGCUGAUGACCUUGCCUGAUUUUCCGAGAGGUGGUGCAUGGCCGUCGUCAGUUCGUACCGUAAGGCGUUCUCUUAAGUGAGAUAACGAACGAGACCCUCACCGCUAAUUGCUAGUGUUCUCUCCGGAGGGCACGCACAUUAACGGGACCGCUGUCGCUAAGACAGAGGAAGGAGAGGUCAACGGUAGGUCCGUAUGCCCCGAAUCUCCUGGGCUACACGCGCGCUACAAAGGUUGGGACAAUGGGCUCCGACGUCGAAAGGUGAAGGCAAUCUCGAAACCCAAUCGUAGUUCGGAUUGAGGGUUGUAACUCACCCUC